UAGCGCCUAGCGCCACAGCGCCUACCUCCAGCUCCCGGGUGGCUGCCGGUCCGACCCCGGCGGGAGGCCGCUCUGUCCGGCCUCACACGCACAUGUCCCCCUCACACACACGCGUCCCUGCGAGGGAGGGGUGUCUGGACAAGUGACCCACGCGUGUGCGCCCGGGGAGAGAGGGCUGUGCACCUCGCGCACACGCGCGCCGCCUUCCCCGUGGGCCGCUCCGAGCGCGUCUCUGAGCGACGGUGUCACACGCGUACCUCUCUGAACACUCGUGGGGCAGAGGCCCCGGGGGCUGUUCUCCUGGGGGACUGGGCAGAGGCCACGCGGAAGCUCAGCGCCCCCCAGCCAGUGUGGGGGCUGGGAGCCGUGUGCGGUUGCGUGGUCUGUGUAGCGGAGUGUGUUUGGGGGGGUGCAUAACACAUUUAGUGUUCGACGAAGUGUGUACACACACUGCAUGUGAUACAUAUGACGUGUGUGUCUGUGUGUGUGUGUGUGUGUGUGGUUGCAGCGUGUGCACAGUCUCGGUGCACUGGGCAUAAAUGGCACGUGGGUGGCAUCCCAUGGCAUGUGUACGGUCGUGUGUGACGUGGCGUGGUGAGACUGCCUGGUGAAGAGAGAUCGAGUUUGGUCCACGCGUUGGCGCUCAGAGAAGACUCGAGGCUGUUUUCGCCGUAUUACCCGCCACGCCGGCGGGUGUGACUGGGCCCAGGAUGGCUGGCUGCAGCUCACCCACCCGAUUCUGUGGCUUGGGAAGGCAGACAGUGUUGUGUAGAUGGUUCUUCUGUGCUCCAUAUUAUCUGGAUUGUCAGCUGGAAAACUCAAAGGCCAAGGACUGGAUUCAUUUGAUGAAAAUUCACUCGCGUGGUGGUCAGCUGUUGGCCAGCUCAGUGACGUGUGGCCCCGCCUUGUGAUUCUCUCAAAACGCAGUAACCAUCUUGAGAGAAAGCCAAGUGGAAGUUAUAUUAAAGUUCCUAAAAAAAUAAAAAUAUAAACCUCAUGACCAA